GUGCCAGCAGCCGCGGUAAUACGGAGGGUGCAAGCGUUAUCCGGAUUCACUGGGUUUAAAGGGUGCGUAGGUGGGCAGGUAAGUCAGUGGUGAAAUCUCCGGGCUUAACUCGGAAACUGCCAUUGAUACUAUCUGUCUUGAAUGCCCUGGAGGUAAGCGGAAUAUGUCAUGUAGCGGUGAAAUGCUUAGAUAUGACAUAGAACACCAAUUGCGAAGGCAGCUUACUACGGGGUGAUUGACACUGAGGCACGAAAGCGUGGGGAUCAAACAGGAUUAGAAACCCUUGUAGUCC
rnacentral:rRNA from 1 species